UCAGUCUGAGAACCAAAGUUCAGUCCCUAUUUUCUGAUGUUUGGGAGGGAGGCGCCCAUCAGAGGUGCCCAAGGAGUACAAGAUAACAGAAGACAAAGUGAAAAGGAUGGUGGAAAGGGAAGAUGUCUGGAAGGGACUUCAAAAACAGGAGGCCGUUUUCACGCUUGUAAAGAAAAACAUUUAAAAAAGCCAAGAGAGGAAACUGGAGAAAGGGCAAGCGGACAACUUCCAAGUGGGCGAGUUGGUUUUAAAAAGAAACAAAAGGUUGGAGCAAAGAAAAGGUGGAAAACUAGAGGUGUAAAUGCAGGGACCUACCGGGUUGUGGACAUUGAGGGGAAAGUUGUUGAAAUAGUUUCAGAAAAGGGAACCAAUAAGAUGAAAGUCAACAUUGACCACCUCGCACACUAUGUCCAGCCAGAGGAGAGGAUCCCUGCUAAAUUGAACAAAUUGUUGGAUCCUUCUCCUCUGGCUGAUCCACUGACCUCCACAUCCUCCCAAACCCUGGCUCCAUCAACUCGGGCAGAAGGAGCAUCUUCUGAGGUGGAGACUUUAAUCCGAGACAUAUGGGCAGGGAGGAGGAAGGAGACGCUAUGGGCCAAGUAUGGCCCAUACAAAGUUUACAGCGAGAACCUCAUGGUCUUGGCCCCAGGACAGCAGUUGGAGGGAGAGAUUAUCAAUGCCUAUUUGACUCCUACCUCAUCACUUCCCUCUGGCGGGGAACACACAAAGGCGAUUUAAGAAAGGUGAGUAGAGUAGGACUAGAAAUAAGUGUAUGUACUUAAGUAUGUACAAAUAUUUUUCAGUUGGACCUGACAAAACACAAUGUGGCAGCUGGAGCCGUCUGUCACAAGGCACACUGGACCCUCAUUAUCAUGUGUCUGAGGGAAAACAGGUCCCUUUUCUUGGACCCAUUUGGGGCCACCAAAGAACAGAUAAGCCGCUGCAAAGACCUAACACGAUCGCUGGUCCGCAAGACAAACCCAGCUGUUGGGCAUGCGACAGCAUGGAUCAUCCCAAACAGCAGGACACAACAUCAUGUGGUGUGUUGAUUUGCAAGGUAACAUUUAUGAAUGUGUGUAUAUAUAACCAUCUGUCAUCAAACCAUAAUACGAAGAUACUUAUCUCAGACUUUGUUAGCUUGCAGAGCAAAUACUAUUGGACCAGAAGGUCCAGUACCCUGUUGACCAGGCGGGUGUGGCCUCAAUGAGGUUCGACAUGGCAAUGUCCCUGGUGAAAAAUUCCGGUAUACAGGACUAAACCAGAGAAACCGAAAUAUCCUGUAUUUUUUGGCAUUUCACUACAUUUAUGCUGUGUCGGGCCUGUGGGGAACUUAGUUCAGGGUUCACCAAGGUUGACCAAUGGGUAAGACGUUGUAUUAAUUUCCUGACCACCAUUUGGCUGGAAGACUGGGAUACACCCUGGAUAGGUUACCUCAACAUCACCGGGUGAACACUAUAACAGAUAUUGAACAUUUUUACUUGAAUUCACCAAACUUGCAUGUCUUUGCACUAUGGGAGAACACUGGUGCAGUGGAAGGAACUUCUGAGCACGGACUCUAUACAGAUAAGAUCCCAACCUAUACAUUGCUUAUUUAGUUAAAUGUUAACAGAGUGAUUGUAAAGCGUACUCUGGAUGAGUGAUGUUAAUCUAAAAAAAUGUUGGCCAUGUUCUAACAUGUAUUAUUUCUGUUUCUUUUCAGAUUGAGUGCACCGGCUGUACCAAAUGGUACCACACAACAUGUGUUGGGCAGCCCUCUAUCUCACUGGACUAUUACUGCAAAGCCUGCACUUUAUAAACACACACACUUCUUGUUUAUGUUCACAUGUGGUCCAGGCUGUUAUCAUCGCACACUUAAAGCUAAAGUAUUACGUUUUUCAAAGGCAACUUAUAUAUAUAUUUAAAGAAAUGUACAUAGAUUUGUGUGUACACCCACUGUUAUAUCAUUUGGAAUGGAAUCUAACAUACUGACAUGACAAAUGGUGGAAUGUGCUCCCCAUUGAAAUCAGGACUGCAGAAAUCUCUUUCGACUCCACUUCGAGCGAUAGAAUUACUAACAAAGCACUUAUAUACUAAUAAAGGACUGGCUUACCUAAAGCCAGUUGAG